rnacentral:rRNA from 1 species
UACGUAGGGUGCAAGCGUUAAUCGGAAUUACUGGGCGUAAAGCGUGCGCAGGCGGUUUUGUAAGUUUGUCGUGAAAUCCCCGGGCUCAACCUGGGAAUGGCGAUGAAGACUGCAAGGCUAGAAUCUGGCAGAGGGGGGUAGAAUUCCACGUGUAGCAGUGAAAUGCGUAGAGAUGUGGAGGAAUACCGAUGGCGAAGGCAGCCCCCUGGGCCAAUACUGACGCUCAUGCACGAAAGCGUGGGGAGCAAACAGG